rnacentral:rRNA from 1 species
GACGAACGCUGGCGGCGUGCUUAACACAUGCAAGUCGAACGGAAAGGCCCUGCUUUGUGGGGUGCUCGAGGGGCGAACGGGGGAGUAACAAGUGAGUAAACUGCCCCUGACUUUGGGAUAAAUUCAGGAAAAUGGGGCUAAUAACGGGAAGGAGCCUCUGCUGCAAGGGGGGGGGUGGGAAGUUUCGGCGGUUGGGGAUGGACUCGCGGCUUAUCAGCUUGUUGGUGGGGUAGUGGCUUACCAAGGCUUUGACGGGGAGCCGGCCUGAGAGGGUGACCGGCCACAUUGGGACUGAGAUACGGCCCAGACUCCUACGGGAGGCAGCAGUGGGGAAUAUUGCACAAUGGGCGGAAGCCUGAUGCAGCAACGCCGCGUGCGGGAUGACGGCCUUCGGGUUGUAAACCGCUUUCGCCUGUGACGAAGCGUGAGUGACGGUAAUGGGUAAAGAAGCACCGGCUAACUACGUG